rnacentral:rRNA from 1 species
GAUGAACGCUGGCGGCGUGCCUAAUACAUGCCAGUCGAACGCUGAAGGAAGGAGCUUGCUCUUUCCGGAUGAGUUGCGAACGGGUGAGUAACGCGUAGGUAACCUGCCUGGUAGCGGGGGAUAACUAUUGGAAACGAUAGCUAAUACCGCAUAACAGUAGAUGUUGCAUGAUAUCUACUUAAAAGGUGCAAUUGCACCACUACCAGAUGGACCUGCGUUGUAUUAGCUAGUUGGUGAGGUAACGGCUCACCAAGGCGACGAUACAUAGCCGACCUGAGAGGGUGAUCGGCCACACUGGGACUGAGACACGGCCCAGACUACUACGGGAGGCAGCAGUAGGGAAGCUUCGGCAAUGGACGGAAGUCUGACCGAGCAACGCCGCGGGAGUGAAGAAGGGUUUCGGAUCGUAAAGCUCUGUUGUAAGAGAAGAACGAGUGUGAGAGUGGAAAGUUCACACUGUGACGGUAUCUUACCAGAAAGGGACGGCUAACUACGUG